CUGUAUAAGAGGAUUUCACUGGGGAUGAAGUAAUAGAUUUAAACUCUAUGUAGAGCGCUCUCUCGUGGCUCCACCCACCACGCACGUUCGAACCAAUCAUAUUAUCCUCUCUGGCGUCCAUGGGCGUGGCUAACCGCGUCUGUCUGUUAAAGGUAGCAGGUUGUACAUGGCGAGCGGGUUACUCACUGAGGGCUGGUGAUUGGUUUAAUGGAAGCCGUCCCUGAACCGCAUUUAAUGACGGAGAACUACAGGAGUGGAGAGAAAACGCAGCACUGAGCAACUUGUAGACUUCACACCCGACUGUAGUGUCCAAAGCCCAGGCUGACCCCCCACCCCUUCAACCUUUGCAGCAAUGCUGGCAGCACUAUUUCCCAAAGACAACCUCUGGAUAUGACGCUGAGCACGUGCACUCAACUUCUUCUUCUUUGGUUGACCAUGGCGAGGCCUGUUCUGAGUGGAACCUGUCCUGUUAAACCGCUGUAUGGUCUUGGCCACCGUGCUGCAGCUCAGUGUCAGGGUCUUGGUAAUCUUCUUAAAGCCUAGGCCAUUUUUAUGUAGAGCAAGAAUUCUUUUUUUCACAUCCUCAGAGAGUUCUUUGCCUUGAGGUGCCAUGUCGAACUUCCAGUGACCAGUAUGAGGGAGUGUGAGAGUGAUGACACCAAAUUUUACACACCUGCUCCCCAUUCACACCUGAGACCUUGUAACACUAACAAGUCACCUGACACCGGGGAGGGAAAAUGGCUAAUUGGGCCCGAUUUGGACAUUUUUACUUGGGGGUGUACUCACUUUUGUUGCCAGCGGUUUAGACAUUAAUGUGUGUUGAGUUAUUUUGAGGGGACAGCAAAUUUACACUGUUACACAAGCUGUACACUCACUACUUUACACUGUAGCAAAGUGUCAUUUCUUCAGUGUUGUCACAUGAAAAGAUAUCAUCAAAUAUUUACAAAAAUGUGAGGGGAGUUCUCACUUUAUUGUGAAAUACUGUACAUCUUUUUAUUUACUUUAAUAUUUAUUCAUUGUGUGUGUGUUUGUUUGUUUAUUUAUAUAUAUAUAUAUAUAUAUUAGAUAGAUAGAUAGAUAGAUAGAGCGAGCGAGCAACAGUGGCGUGUCUGACUCCAGAUCAGAAGGUUGCGUGUUCAAAUCACGUCGGGGUCAUUCAAUGCACAGAGCAUCGGGGUCAUUCAAUGCACAGACGUGUAAUCUUGGCUCUGUAUGCCUCGCAAAAAGCAGGUUUACGCUACCUUUGCCACUGAUUGCCCAUCGUCUGACACGUAUAAUGACACAAAGGCCUCGUACAAAUGGUAAAUGUGUGAAGUUACCCAGAAGAAGGCUGAACCAUGGUUCUAUCGCAUAGGCAGUUGAGUCCCUGAGUUGCGCUUCAGGUAUAAGUUGUCCACGCUUCACUCUCACGCACUGGGGUGAGAUCUACCAUUUGAUCUUGAAAAUCUCCCUUAAUGUCCAGGGAAGGGAAACCAGCCAGGUUAUGCCUUUAAAGGGCUCGUGCCUUGUCCGCUGAAAGAGCUCUUGCCCAGAUGUCAGACACUAGUCGCAACAGUCACAGCCCACCACCUGUCUCCGGGUUCCAAUGCGUCUUGAUCGCCACGCCGAUGAACAAGUAUGCCUUGCACCAUGAUGCGCUAUAGGCUUCGAGCUGGGACCUCGUGGCGCAACGGAAGUGCGUCUGACUCCAGAUCAGGAGGUUCAAAUCACGUCGGGGUCAUUCAAUGUGCUCUUUUUCACACAGACCCAUGAUUUUCUGCGCAGUCUAAUAAGGAUGCUGUUAAAUGGACUCCAAUCUCUAUGAUGACCACCCAUGUCUUUGUCAACUUCAUGCUAAAAGUGCCCAAAGCCCGUGGUGGUGGCAGUGCAUGGCGUUUGUGUGGAAGCAGGUCUGUUGGGAGUGUUAAGUACCAUCAUCUCAUACACUCACCACAACUCUGGGAAGUUCCAUCCAUAUUGUUUGCUGUCACUUUUCCUGCAAAGCUUUAACCAUCAGAGAGUUAUCUUUCUAUCUGCAGGAGACUGAAUUACUAAGUUUUUUUUUUUUGUGGAUCUGAUUUCUUCUUUCGCAGGAGUGGAUCUAAUCACAGCCUGUGAUAUUCGUCUGUGCACACAGGAUGCCUGGUUUCAGGUGAAGGUAUGAGGAACAUUAACUUGCCAUACAUUGCUUGCUUACAUGUUUACACCAAGAUCUGUAAACAAGCUAUUUUUGUCCAUAUGAUCAUAUAUAGAGAUAGUAAGUGAUGAGAAGAUAAGAAUGGGCUGAUUGUUCUGACUCGUACAUGCCCCUAUGAAAGAGUUGACCACAAGGGGGCACACUCUGAACAAUUAUUUACAUUGGCAGUUUGUUGAAGAUUAAAUAAACCACAGUGAGCAUCAGAUGUCUGGUUUUAAUGCAAAGUUUUAUGAUGAACUAUUUUAUGAUAUUACCAUCUUGUCAUUUAUCAAAGAAGAGCUACAAAACCUGAAAUUUGUUCAUUUUUAGACAGAAAAAUUCUGCAGUGUAGCUGUUCUAGUGGGCUUUCCCACUGGAUGUUUAGUCCAACACAGAGCAGUUUGCAUGAAAAGUUGGUAAUGUGACCGUCGUAAUGUGGACUGGGAAGUGCACUGCGGUACCGAACCCGAGACUACCUGUAGAAGGUGGUCCGAGUUCAGUUACAAUGGAACUGUGAAUGUGAAUUGUCCCAUGAAUGUGAACGUAACUUAUAUCCGGGUCUGCACUUUUUCAGGAAGUAGAGUAACCUGUGCUGAAGGCCUGUUGUGGUGAUGACAUGUCAUGACAUGUUUUGGCCCAAAUCUGCAGUGACUUUGAAAAAGUGGAAGCUCCUCUGAAUAUUGUGGAGUUUCUUGAUUUUGCGUUAAUUUCUGUGAUCACAAAAAGGUGAAAUUCUGGACUGACACAUGGAAGAUAUGGAAUGAUAACAGAAGAAUGUGACUGAAAAAGCUCAAAAGCUUGUUUUGUGUGUUAACAUGAACAGUAGAUGUACAUAUUUCUUCUGGUCCUGUGUGACUGCAGAAUGUAGUGCAGUUAACACAUUAAAUUUCCUUGGAUGCUCACUUUUAACUCGAGGAGGUCACAGUUUGCCCAGACAUCUUUUUUUAAAUCCGUCAAUCCGUCACCCACACGUCAUUCUGGGGGACGAAGAGGAGGAAGCUGGACAGAUAAAUUUAUUUAUUUAUUUAUCAUUGCUGUGUUUCCUCAAUCGAGUGCAGAAAGAAGAAAAACAACACAACUGAUUUAAAAUAAAAAUAUAGAAAACAAUCUAAUGUAAGGUUCUGAUCCGGUUUGCUUUCAGCAGGAAGGCUGUCCUCUUUCCUGUUGCUCUUUCUCUUCUAUUAGUCCAUUUGUCCAGUCUGAAUCGGUUUUGAUUCGUUUCGAGACGAUUCGGAGUCGAAUAAUUUUCUAGUGAGAGUCGCACACUUCCAAACGAACUAGACUGAGAUGAGUAUUUGAUUCUCAUUAGAAAGUGAUUCGACUCUGAAUCAACUCGAAAUGAAUCAGUCAAACUGAUUCAGACUCUAUAAAAGGACUAUGAGAUGUGAUUAAGAUAUAUAUUCCAAAGUUUUGCUUUACAAUUCCAUUGUGUGUGUGUGUGUGUGUGUGUGUGUGUGUG